rnacentral:ribozyme from 1 species
AGUUUAACUCCGCCCAGAGUACAGGCAAAACACUCUGGCCAGUCUCAAGCCUGGAUAAAGGAGGAGGGUUAG